UUUGACCUGCCGAAACUGCAUAGCCGUAUGGCCUGUGGCUCCUUGCCUUCCUCUUAAUAGGUUCUGCCUCACCUCUAAGGGGGUGUGUGGCCAUCUGCAAGUCUUCGGAAAAAUGCGUCUGGAGAAGCUUAUACUAACCUGUUUGGAGAAUGAACCUAAUAAAUGUGGGAGUUAUGGGGAAGAUCCGAAGACCCAUUUUCGAUACAAAUUGAGUUGCUGUUCCGAUCAUGAUUCAUGCAAUUGGAAGCCUUUUAUACGUCCAUGGAAAUAUUUCAAGAGCUCAGCAAAUAUGAUACAAAAGGAAAACAAGAACAAUGGAAGAAUAUUAACGACAGAGAAACCAACUCAAAACUCAGCUGGAAGCAGUGCUACAGGCACAAAGCUUGUAUUUGUGCCUGAAAUGGAUCUGAAACAUCAGCUUCCUGAUUAUUAAUCAAAAUAUUUGAUUAAUAAUUCUCAACGGAUGAGUCCUGGAGCAAUCAAUCCAUCUAUCAAACGAGAUUGUGUUUUGCUAUUCUAACUUCCAUUCUUUGUGUUUUCUUUUAAAAAACACACAAUGGAUAGAAAAGUCACAAUGGAAGAGUGUGUAAUUCUCUUACUUCAUUAAAAAAUGGGCAACUGAGCUAGACUCCUAAUUUGUAUAUCUAAGGUAUGGAAAACAUCGUUUAGUAGAACAAUUAAGGUGUAAGAAAUGAACCAAUU